AUUGAACGCUGGCGGCAGGCCUAACACAUGCAAGUCGAGCGAGAGGCGGACGGGUGAGUAAUGUCUGGGAAACUGCCCGAGGGAGGGGGAUAACUACUGGAAACAGUAGCUAAUACCGCAUACCAUCAGAGGUGCCCAUAUGGGAUUAGCUGGUGGGUGGGGUAACGGCUCACCUAGGCGACGAUCCCUAGCUGGUCUGAGAGGAUGACCAGCCACACUGGAACUGAGACACGGUCCAGACUCCUACGGGAGGCAGCAGUGGGGAAUAUUGCACAAUGGGCGCAAGCCUGAUGCAGCCAUGCCGCGUGUAUGAAGAAGGCCUUCGGGUUGUAAAGUACUUUCAGCGGGGAGGCGUUACCCGCAGAAGAAGCACCGGCUAACUCCGUGCCAGCAGCCGCGGUAAUAC
rnacentral:rRNA from 1 species